rnacentral:sRNA from 1 species
AUCUCUCCUCUACCCCAAUCUUCUGCCCUCUCCUCUGCUUCCCCGGCCUCCCCCUUCUGACUCUCCUCUCCCCUCUUUGUAUCCCCCAUCUUGCCUCCCUGCUUCCCACAUCCGACCACCCGACCUCUCUCCUCAGACGUGGACGAAUGUCGCGAGCGAGGCCCAGCCCUGUGCGGGUCGCAGCGCUGUGAGAACUCUCCCGGCUCCUACCGCUGUGUCCGGGACUGCGAUCCUGGGUACCACGCGGGCCCCGAGGGCACCUGUGACGAUGUGGAUGAGUGCCAAGAAUAUGGUCCCGAGAUUUGUGGAGCCCAGCGUUGUGAGAACACCCCUGGCUCCUACCGCUGCACACCAGCCUGUGACCCUGGCUAUCAGCCCACGCCAGGGGGCGGAUGCCAGGGUGGGUGUCCAUCAGGCAUCGGGUGAGAUGUGGAGAUGGUAGAAGGUCCAGAAAUGGCCUGACUGUCUGGUGGUUGCAGAUGUGGACGAAUGCCGGAACCGGUCCUUCUGCGGUGCCCACGCCGUGUGCCAGAACCUGCCCGGCUCCUUCCAGUGCCUCUGUGACCAGGGUUACGAG